rnacentral:rRNA from 1 species
UACAGAGGUCUCAAGCGUUGUUCGGAUUUAUUGGGCGUAAAGGGCGCGUAGGCGGCCACGCACGUCCGUUGUGAAAUCGCCCGGCUCAACUGGGCGGGGUCAGCGGAUACGGUGUGGCUCGAGCAAGCUAGGGGGCAAUGGAAUUCCCGGUGUAGUGGUGGAAUGCGUAGAUAUCGGGAGGAACACCAGUGGCGAAGGCGGUUGCCUGGAGCUUUGCUGACGCUGAGGCGCGAAAGCGUGGGGAGCGAUCCGG